rnacentral:rRNA from 1 species
GACGAACGCUGGCGGCGUGCCUAAUACAUGCAAGUUGAGCGCUGAAGGUUGGUACUUGUACCAACUGGAUGAGCAGCGAACGGGUGAGUAACGCGUGGGGAAUCUGCCUUUGAGCGGGGGACAACAUUUGGAAACGAAUGCUAAUACCGCAUAAAAACUUUAAACACAAGUUUUAAGUUUGAAAGAUGCAAUUGCAUCACUCAAAGAUGAUUCCGCGUUGUAUUAGCUAGUUGGUGAGGUAAAGGCUCACCAAGGCGAUGAUACAUAGCCGACCUGAGAGGGUGAUCGGCCACAUUGGGACUGAGACACGGCCCAAACUCCUACGGGAGGCAGCAGUAGGGAAUCUUCGGCAAUAGACGAAAGUCUGACCGAGCAACGCCGCGUGAGUGAAGAAGGUUUUCGGAUCGUAAAACUCUGUUGGUAGAGAAGAACGUUGGUGAGAGUGGAAAGCUCAUCAAGUGACGGUAACUACCCAGAAAGGGACGGCUAACUACGUG